AAACCAUGAUGAGGACACUCUAAGAUAAGAUCUUUGAAACAUUCCAUACAUCGAGAGAACGAUUCGUUGGGUCUUUUAGCGAAACUGGAGAAUGUCGUUCCUAAGUUU
rfam:Cephalotus follicularis DNA, scaffold: scaffold3386, isolate: St1.